rnacentral:rRNA from 1 species
UACGAAGGGGGCUAGCGUUGUUCGGAAUCACUGGGCGUAAAGCGCACGUAGGCGGAUUGUUAAGUCGGGGGUGAAAUCCUGAGGCUCAACCUCAGAACUGCCUUCGAUACUGGCGAUCUUGAGUUCGGAAGAGGUUGGUGGAACAGCUAGUGUAGAGGUGAAAUUCGUAGAUAUUCGCAAGAACACCAGUGGCGAAGGCGGCUGACUGGUCCGGUUCUGACGCUGAGGCGCGAAAGCGUGGGGAGCAAACAGG